rnacentral:rRNA from 1 species
CUACGGAGGGUGCAAGCGUUAUUCGGAAUCACUGGGCGUAAAGGACGCGUAGGCGGGUUGGCAAGUCAGAUGUGAGAUCCUACAGCUUAACUGUAGAACUGCAUUUGAAACUGCUAACCUAGAGUAUGGGAGGGGGAGAUGGAAUUAGUGGUGUAGGGGUAAAAUCCGUAGAUAUCACUAGGAAUACCGAAAGCGAAGGCGAUCUCCUGGAACAUAACUGACGCUAAGGCGUGAAAGCGUGGGGAGCAAACAGGAUUAGAUACCCUAGUAGUCC